rnacentral:tmRNA from 2 species
GGGGCCGAAAUGGUUUCGACCGGGCAUGUGAUGCUGGACGUGGCGCGUCGAGGCGCACGUGGACCUUCGUAAAAAGCGUGCAAGACAAUAACUGCUGAGAGCAACUACGCUCUCGCGGCCUAAUACUGGCCGCGGUGACUCCGCCCGACGCCCGAUGGGGCGGGGUCACACGACAUCGGGCUGGCUCCCGCGCGACGCCUUCGGGCGCGGGAGUGAGAAAACUCCGCGGGCUUGGUUUCGGGACACGUUGCUGGUGGCGGAUCCCGACGCCGAGAUCAAAUCACCGGACACACGCGUAGAGGCGUCCAGCGGACUGACUCGGGACCGGGGUUCGAUUCCCCGCGGCUCCAUUG